CGGGCGUCUUAACAUGCAAGUCGAACGGAGUUUAUAUAGAAGGAGUCCUCGGACAACGGAAGUAUAAACUUAGUGGCGGACGGGUGAGUAAUGCGUGGGUAACCUGCCUUAUACAAGGGGAUAACAGAGGGAAACUUCUGCUAAUACCGUGUAAAAAUAUUUCACGCAUGUGAGAUAUUUGAAAGAUUUAUCAGUAUGAGAUGGACCCGCGUCCGAUUAGGUAGUUGGUGAGGUAGAGGCUCACCUAGCCAACGAUCGGUAGCCGAUCUGAGAGGAUGACCGGCCACAUUGGGACUGAGACACGGCUCAUACUCCUACGGGAGGCAGCAGUGGGGAAUAUUGGGCAAUGGGGGCAACUCUGAUCCAGCGACGCCGCGUGAGUGAAGAAGUAUUUCGGUAUGUAAAGCUCUAUCGAUAACGGAAGAAGAUGACAAGCCGUUAAGGAAGAAGCCCGGCUAACUAC
rnacentral:rRNA from 1 species